rnacentral:misc_RNA from 1 species
CCAAUAGCGUAUAUUAAAGUUGUUGCAGUUAAAAAGCUCGUAGUUGAAUUUCGGGAUUAGUACGUUGGUCGUGCCUUGGUACGUACUGGUGUAACUGAUUCCUCCCUUCUGACGAACCGUUAUGCCAUUAAUUUGGUGUGGCGGGAAAUCAGGACUGUUACUUUGAAAAAAUUAGAGUGUUUAAAGCAGGCUCGCGCUUGAAUACAUUAGCAUGGAAUAAUGAAAUAGGACGUUAAUCCUAUUUUGUUGGUUUCUAGGAUCGACGUAAUGAUUAAUAGGGAUAGUAGGGGGCAUGAGGAUUCAAUUGUCAGAGGUGAAAUUCUUGGAUUUAUUGAAGACUAACUACUGCGAAAGCAUUUGCCAAGGAUGUUUUCAUUAAUCAAGAACGAAAGUUAGGGGAUCGAAGACGAUCAGAUACCGUCGUAGUCUUAACCAUAAACUAUGCCGACUAGGGAUCGGAUGAUGUUAAUUUUUUAAUGACUCAUUCGGCGCCUUACG